CGGCCUGCUGCUUUGCGGGAGGAGGUGCAGGUAGGAACCGGCUGCUCGGGAUCCGCGUCCAUCGGCGGCGGGAGCAGUGACCGGGACCCCAUCGGCCCCUGUCUGCACCCGGCAGAUACCCAUCCUCCUCGCCUGAUCCUUAUCUGGCGGAGUUUAUUCCCGAUUAUCCGUCGGGAGCGGGUGCCGCCGCUAACAGGAGCCCUUUCGGGACCUGGAAGGUGGCAGCAUGAUGAUAUGGGCAAGGAAGAAUGGCUCCCCGAAAAGGAAAGGAGAAGAGCAGGUGAUGAGUUUGGGAGCAGAGGUGGCUGAGAGGGUUUUCAACGACACCUUUGUCCGUGUAACAGACCUGUUUGGCAAAAUGGCUCUCUGAAAAGGAAAGGAGAAGAAGGAAGAGCAGGUGAUCAGUUUGGGACCACAGGUGGCCGAGGGGGAAAUUGGAUUUGGAGUUUGCUGCCUCUCUGCUUCCUUCAACGACACCUUUGUCCACGUAAUGGACCUGUCCGGCAAAAUGGCCCCCUAGAAAGGGAAGGAGAAGAAGAAAGAGGAGGUGAUCAGUUUGGGACCACAGGUGGCCGAGGGGGAAAUUGUAUUCGGAGUUUGCUGCCUCUCUGCUUCCUUCAACGACACCUUUGUCCAUGUAACGGACCUGUUCGGCAACCACAAGAGGUGUCAACAAAAGAGGAACUGGACUGUACACAUGUUAAAGUUUUAAUGAUUGCUGUGCUGCUUUCUUUCUGAAUGACUCCCCAAAAAUGACAGAAGAAAGAAGAACAGGUGAUCGGUUUGGGACUUCGGUUGGCUGACGGGGAGAAUGUAUUCGGAGUUUGCCACAUCAUUGCUUCCUUCAGUGACACCUCUGCCCACGUAAUGGACCUGUCCGAUGAUGUGGAAGCAUUGCUGAUGGGUUAUGAUGCUGUGAGAACCCUGGUGCUGCACUGGACGCUUGUGAAGAUCGACAUACAUUUCCAUCUCUCUGCUUCAGGAGGACCAAGCUGGAUCUUUGGGCAGGGGAUUUUUCCCCUGUACAGCCCUUGUUGACCACCUGAAAGGGCUGCUCCUCGAGUUCUGGCAGCACUUCAUCCCAGCACUCCUGAUCUAUGGGCUUGCAGUACAGAGGGCGUGUGGGUUGCUCAGGUAUUACCUGGUAGGCCUGCUCCUGAGGCUGGCCAAUAUGGUCAUUAUGGUCAUACAUGGGUUCAGGCAGUGGGCUGCUUGCUCCUCUUUGGGGUUGUGUCUAUACCUGGGUCUCCUUGGAGAGGAUCUAUGGACAUGGGGGAUUUCUGAGAAUGGUGCCCCUCUCUUCCCAGAAUUGAGUGUUUUGUAGACAAUGGGAAUUGUAUUUUAAUUUGAAAUUGUUAUUAGAUUUGUAAACCCCUGCCCAUUGUAUGUACGGUAUUUUGUGAUUCAAUAAACUUGCAAGGUUGUGAAAAGAGAGGACCAGACGGGUGUGA